UGCCCCUUGGCUGAGUUGGUUACAGCGUCCGACUGUUAUCAUUGCGAUCAAGUAAUCGGAAGGUCGUGAGUUCGAGCCUCACAGGGGCAG